rnacentral:rRNA from 1 species
CCCAGACUCCUACGGGAGGCAGCAGUGGGGAAUAUUGCACAAUGGGGGAAACCCUGAUGCAGCGACGCCGCGUGAGUGAUGAAGUAUUUCGGUAUGUAAAGCUCUCUCAGCAGGGAAGAUAAUGACGGUACCUGACUAAGAAGCUCCGGCUAAAUACGUGCCAGCAGCCGCGGUAAUACGUAUGGAGCAAGCGUUAUCCGGAUUUACUGGGUGUAAAGGGAGCGCAGACGGCAGGGCAAGUCUGAUGUGAAAGUCCGUGGCUCAACCCCGGGACUGCAUUGGAAACUGUCCGGCUAGAGUGCAGGAGAGGUAAGUGGAAUUCCUAGUGUAGCGGUGAAAUGCGUAGAUAUUAGGAGGAACACCAGUGGCGAAGGCGGCUUACUGGACUGUAACUGACGUUGGGGCUCGAAAGCGUGGGGAGCAAACAGGAUUAGAUACCCUCGUACAA